rnacentral:rRNA from 1 species
AUUGAACGCUGGCGGCAGGCCUAACACAUGCAAGUCGAGCGGAUGAAGGGAGCUUGCUCCUGGAUUCAGCGGCGGACGGGUGAGUAAUGCCUAGGAAUCUGCCUGGUAGUGGGGGAUAACGUCCGGAAACGGGCGCUAAUACCGCAUACGUCCUGAGGGAGAAAGUGGGGGAUCUUCGGACCUCACGCUAUCAGAUGAGCCUAGGUCGGAUUAGCUAGUUGGUGGGGUAAAGGCCUACCAAGGCGACGAUCCGUAACUGGUCUGAGAGGAUGAUCAGUCACACUGGAACUGAGACACGGUCCAGACUCCUACGGGAGGCAGCAGUGGGGAAUAUUGGACAAUGGGCGAAAGCCUGAUCCAGCCAUGCCGCGUGUGUGAAGAAGGUCUUCGGAUUGUAAAGCACUUUAAGUUGGGAGGAAGGGCAGUAAGUUAAUACCUUGCUGUUUUGACGUUACCAACGAAUAAGC